rnacentral:rRNA from 1 species
GACGAACGCUGGCGGCGUGCUUAACACAUGCAAGUCGAGCGGUAAGGCCCUUUCGGGGGUACACGAGCGGCGAACGGGUGAGUAACACGUGAGUAAUCUGCCCAUCACUUGGGGAUAACUACCGGAAACGGUGGCUAAUACCGAAUAUGACCACUUCCUGCAUGGGAUGGUGGUGGAAAGUUCCGGCGGUGAUGGAUGAGCUCGCGGCCUAUCAGCUUGUUGGUGGGGUAAUGGCCUACCAAGGCUUCGACGGGUAGCCGGCCUGAGAGGGUGACCGGCCACAAUGGGAAUGAGACACGGACCAGACUCCUACGGGAGGCAGCAGUGGGGAAUAUUGGACAAUGGGCGAAAGCCUGAUCCAGCAACGCCGCGUGGGGGAUGACGGCCUUCGGGUUGUAAACCUCUUUCAGUGGGGACGAAGCGCAAGUGACGGUACCCACAGAAGAAGCACCGGCCAACUACGUGCCAGCCGCCGCGGUAA